UGGCUAGCUUCAAUUAGCCUAUUUAGCUAGCUUCAAUUAGCCUAUUUAGCUAGCUUCUGUCGGUUUGAUGCAGUCAAGACUGGUACUAUGUAACCAGAUGGGAUGAUAAAUAACUAGCAAGAAGUUAGUCUAGCGUGAUAUAACAGUGGUCAAGGUCUCUCCCUCCAUGUCUGCUUAGGUGCUCCGAGCCUCCUGUGUCUCGUCACACAUUUACACACCACAUGGCCUCUGCUCCCUAAAAGCCAACAGCUGCUCGCUCUGUGCCCCUCCCUCUCUCUCUCUUUCAGUAAUGGCUCCGGUUUAUUAAAGUAGCGAAAACAUUUGGCUUUCCUGUUUGUUCUCUCUCUUGGAUAGGACCGGUUGUCCUUUUAGAAAAAGUGCACAGUUGGGUGCCAAACGGAUCCCAUGGUCGUUAAUGGAUGGUGGGACCUACCAGAAGGAGCCAAUGUGAGUAUCACCUAGGACUUGUCCAGCGAUGUGAUUGCAAUGGUUUAGCGACGUGCCAAAAUCAUUUAAGCCACUGUGCACCUGGUGUUUACAGAGCAAGACCUCCGAAUAAAAUUGUGUCAUGCGACGUAUGUACCCUUGUGACACCUCCUCUGUUGUUGCCAGUCUCUCUCAACUCAUACGAAAAGGACAUGCCAUAAUGAGGCCUCUGAUAGUGACCCGAGUUACUGAUACAUCAACAAUGACAGGCCCUCCCAGUCUACACCACCUCAUAAGAUUGCCUGCUGCAGUUGUUCGAGAGACGGCCAGUUUACAGCCGAACACGCAGCAUAGAGAAGACCAGCAAAGGGGCCCUCAUCAGCAUCAUGCAGACAUGCCCUUGCUGUGA
rnacentral:lncRNA from 13 species